rnacentral:rRNA from 1 species
GGGACACGUGGUAUCCUGUCUGAAUAUGGGGGGACCAUCCUCCAAGGCUAAAUACUCCUGACUGACCGAUAGUGAACCAGUACCGUGAGGGAAAGGCGAAAAGAACCCCGGCGAGGGGAGUGAAAAAGAACCUGAAACCGUGUACGUACAAGCAGUGGGAGCCUCUUAAUGGGGUGACUGCGUACCUUUUGUAUAAUGGGUCAGCGACUUAUAUUCUGUAGCAAGGUUAACCGAAUAGGGGAGCCGAAGGGAAACCGAGUCUUAACUGGGCGUUAAGUUGCAGGGUAUAGACCCGAAACCCGGUGAUCUAGCCAUGGGCAGGUUGAAGGUUGGGUAACACUAACUGGAGGACCGAACCGACUAAUGUUGAAAAAUUAGCGGAUGACUUGUGGCUGGGGGUGAAAGGCCAAUCAAACCGGGAGAUAGCUGGUUCUCCC